rnacentral:misc_RNA from 1 species
UUUCCGUAGGUGAACCUGCGGAAGGAUCAUUAUUGAAACUUGAAUCGUAGCAUCGAGAACUGUUGCUGACCUGUUAAAAGGUAUGUGCACGUUCGACGUGUUGCGUUCUAUUCAUCCACCUGUGCACCUUUGUAGACUUGAUUAACUUUCGCUCUCGAGCGGUUAGAAGGGUUGCUCUCGAGCUCCCUUUGUCUAUCAAGUCUAUGUCUAUAUAAUCUCUUGUAUGUCUAGAAUGUCUUGUUUAUGGGACGCAAGUCCUUUAAAUCUUAUACAACUUUCAACAACGGAUCUCUUGGCUCUC